ncrna:Petromyzon marinus (sea lamprey) microRNA pma-mir-137 precursor (pma-mir-137-2)
CGCGGCCACGGGUAUUCUUGGGUAUAUAAUACAGAUUGCGUUGUUAUUGCUUAAGAAUACACGUAGCCGCG